rnacentral:rRNA from 1 species
AGAGUUUGAUCCUGGCUCAGAUUGAGCGCUGGCGGCAUGCCUUACACAUGCAAGUCGAACGGUAGAGUAGCAAUACUUGAGAGUGGCGAACGGGUGAGUAAUAUAUCGGAACGUGCCCAGUCGUGGGGGAUAACGUAGAGAAAUUUACGCUAAUACCGCAUACGAUCUAAGGAUGAAAGCGGGGGAUUCGCAAGAACCUCGCGCGAUUGGAGCGGCUGAUAUCAGAUUAGGUUGUUGGUGAGGUAAAAGCUCACCAAGCCGACGAUCUGUAGCUGGUUUGAGAGAACGACCAGCCACACUGGGACUGAGACACGGCCCAGACUCCUACGGGAGGCAGCAGUGGGGAAUUUUGGACAAUGGGCGAAAGCCUGAUCCAGCAAUGCCGCGUGUGGGAAGAAGGCCUUCGGGUUGUAAACCACUUUUGUACGGAACGAAACGGUUCGCUUUAAUACAGUGGGCUAAUGACGGUACCGUAAGAAUAAGCACCGGCUAACUACGUGCCAGCAGCCGCGGUAAUACGUAGGGUGCGAGCGUUAAUCGGAAUUACUGGGCGUAAAGCGUGCGCAGGCGGUUAUGUAAGACAGUUGUGAAAUCCCCGGGCUCAACCUGGGAAUUGCAUCUGUGACUGUAUAGCUAGAGUACGGUAGAGGGGGAUGGAAUUCCGCGUGUAGCAGUGAAAUGCGUAGAUAUGCGGAGGAACACCGAUGGCGAAGGCAAUCCCCUGGACCUGUACUGACGCUCAUGCACGAAAGCGUGGGGAGCAAACAGGAUUAGAUACCCUGGUAGUCCACGCCCUAAACGAUGUCAACUGGUUGUUGGGUGCAUUAGUACUCAGUAACGAAGCUAACGCGUGAAGUUGACCGCCU